CCUACGGGAGGCUGCAGUGAGGAAUAUUGGUCAAUGGACGAGAGUCUGAACCAGCCAAGCAGCGUGAAGGAUGACUGCCCUGUGGGUUGUAAACUUCUUUUAUAUGGGAAUAAAAUGUUCCACGUGUGGGAUUUUGUAUGUACCAUAUGAAUAAGGAUCGGCUAACUCCGUGCCAGCAGCCGCGGUAAUACGGAGGAUCCGAGCGUUAUCCGGAUUUAUUGGGUUUAAAGGGAGCGUAGGUGGAUUGUUAAGUCAGUUGUGAAAGUUCGCGGCUCAACCGGAGACUGGCAGUUGAAACUGGCAGUCUUGAGUACAGUAGAGGUGUGCGGAAUUCGUGGUGUAGCGGUGAAAUGCUUAGAUAUCACGAAGAACUCCGAUUGCGAAGGCAGUUCACUGGACUGCAACUGACACUGAGGCUCGAAAGUGUGGGUAUCAAACAGGAUUAGAUACCCGUGUAGUC
rnacentral:rRNA from 1 species